CUGAGGCUCGAAAGUGUGGGUAGCAAACAGGAUUAGAUACCCUGGUAGUCCACACUGUAAACGAUGAUUACUAGGUGUUGGAGGAUUGACCCCUUCAGUGCCGCAGUUAACACAAUAAGUAAUCCACCUGGGGAGUACGACCGCAAGGUUGAAACUCAAAGGAAUUGACGGGGGCCCGCACAAGCAGUGGAGUAUGUGGUUUAAUUCGACGCAACGCGAAGAACCUUACCAAGUCUUGACAUCCUGCGACGAUGCUGGAAACAGUAUUUUCCUUCGGGACGCAGAGACAGGUGGUGCAUGGUUGUCGUCAGCUCGUGUCGUGAGAUGUUGGGUUAAGUCCCGCAACGAGCGCAACCCUUAUGGUCAGUUACUACGCAAGAGGACUCUGGCCAGACUGCCGUUGACAAAACGGAGGAAGGUGGGGAUGACGUCAAAUCAUCAUGCCCUUUAUGACUUGGGCUACACACGUACUACAAUGGCGUUAAACAAAGAGAAGCAAGACCGCGAGGUGGAGCAAAACUCAGAAACAACGUCCCAGUUCGGACUGCAGGCUGCAACUCGCCUGCACGAAGUCGGAAUUGCUAGUAAUCGCAGAUCAGCAUGCUGCGGUGAAUACGUUCCCGGGCCUUGUACACACCGCCCGUCACACCAUGAGAGCCGGGGGGACCCGAAGUCGGUAGUCUAACCGCAAGGAGGACGCCGCCGAAGGUAAAACUGGUGAUUGGGGUGAAGUCGUAACAAGGUAGCCGUAGGAGAACCUGCGGCUG
rnacentral:rRNA from 1 species